UGUCCUCUGCCUAAGCACUCUAGAGCCCAAGGACAAAGCCCUGAUUAGACCACCUUUACAGCCUCAAGGCCCUUCAGGAGCCAUCACACCUCCCUCUCUGGCUGCCCCUCUUGCAGCUCUGCUCCCAGCUCAGGCCGGCGCUCCUUCCAGCGUCCUAAAUUCUGUUCCCUAUGCUUGACUGCCUGUCUGCUCUUCUCCACCCAGGGAAAUCCUGUAAGACCCAGCCCUGUGCUGCCUCCACUGGAAGCCCUCCUCAGAUCUGCCAGAGUGGCCACUGCCACACUCAGGAGCCCCCCCGUGACUCCUGGGCUGGCUGGGGUCAGUUCUGACUCUCUUGCGCAGCGGUGGCCUCCAGCUCCCCUCGGUUUCACAGUGAUUCUAACUGGAGGUCAGUGAUGCUUCGCUUCAAGGCUCCCUCAUCUGGGCCCUCAGAAUGUUCCUACAGAGGAUUGAGUGCCUGGGCCAUCCCUGGCGAGAAUUGCAGUGGUCCGCCUGCCCUCACCAUAGGUCACCAUCAGGGCACUGUGCUGGCCUCCCAUUGAUGAGUGGAUGAAUGAGGUGGAGCAGGGCUCUUUACCUCCAGUUUCCACUAGAUCAACUCCUCCAGGCUACUCAGGUAACAGGGAAUUUCUGACCCAGAAGGUAAGGGAAUUUCUGGAGUUACUGAGAGCCAGGACAAAGAUUUACUGAGAUGCAGCCAUUCUGCACUUCUCCUAGAACCUCACUGGAGGAGAUAUCUAAAGAUUCAGGCCAUUAAAGUAAAGCCAUGAAAAUUGGAUACUAUCUCAGUGUUGAAGAGAACAUGCAAAUGAAAAUCCCAGUGAGAUACCAUUUCACAUCCAUUACCUUGGCAAAAAUCAUGAAGUCUGAUAUUACCAAGUGUAGGCAAGGA